rnacentral:rRNA from 1 species
AUUGAACGCUGGCGGCGUGCCUAACACAUGCAAGUCGAACGCAGUGGCGAACGGUUUAGGAACACGUGGGAACAUGCCCAUCAGAAGGGGAUAAAAUUUGGCAACAGGCGCUAAUACCCUCUAUGGGUGGAUGGAGUCGGGGGGGAUUAGCUAGUCGGUGGGGUAAAGGCUCACCUAGGCGACGAUCCCUAGCUGGUCUGAGAGGAGGACCAGCCACACUGGAACUGAGACACGGUCCAGACUCCUACGGGAGGCAGCAGUGGGGAAUAUUGUACAAUGGGCGCAAGCCUGAUCCAGCCAUGCCGCGUGUGUGAAGAAGGUCUUCGGAUUGUAAAGCACUUUAAGUGGGGAGGCGUUACCAGCAGAAGAAGCACCGGCUAACUUCGUGCCAGCAGCCGCGGUAAUAC